rnacentral:ncRNA from 2 species
UGCAUUAAUAACUAAAAGUCUAAUAUAUCGCCGUAAUGGGUCGGCUGUCUCUACUUGGAACCAUAAUUCCAAACUAUUAGAACAAGACCCUAGACG